UUAUUUUAUUACCAUGUGUGUCAAACAUGCACAUUAUAUAGUUUUAAUUUAUUGUAAAAAAAAGAACUUAUUUUAAUUUUAUUAAUAACAUUUUCCAAAGCUGUAACUUUAAAACUAAAUUGAAAUAAGCUGUCAUCAUGGAAAGACUUAAAUUUUCAUUCUCAAAUGGUACAAUGUUGGAUCCGGUGUUGCCAGUGUAAGAUUGUUUUUAUGCUGUAUUUCCAUUCGAAGCUGAUUUGAGACAAAGUACGAUGCUGAAGAAAGGACCGUAUCAUCAGGUGUCUGACUGCUUGAUGAGCCUGCUCCACUUCCGACCACCUGCUGGUGAAGUUUGGCCAUGGCCGUUUUAGCAUGACUCGGAGUACCUGGAAACAUUGUGACUGAAGGCUGUCUGAGAGUUAUUGAUGCCCUGUGAUGGUGGAGAUGCUGUUCGUCUUCUCCGCCUCCACCUCCACCCCCAACAAUUGGUACGCCAGUCGAGUUUGUGCUUCCAAUCGUUUGUACAAUGCUAGAUCCAACUCCACUGUUUGCAACAGUAGUCGCUUCAGGAGCGGAGUAAAAAUAUGUAGUUCCACCGACAUACUCCUGCACAAAUACAAAACAAAAAUAAAAAUGUCUUUCCAAA